rnacentral:rRNA from 1 species
CCUACGGGGGGCUGCAGUGGGGAAUAUUGGACAAUGGGCGAAAGCCUGAUCCAGCCAUGCCGCGUGAGUGAUGAAGGCCUUAGGGUUGUAAAGCUCUUUCGUUGGUGACGAUAAUGACGGUAACCAAAGAAGAAGCCCCGGCUAACUUCGUGCCAGCAGCCGCGGUAAUACGAAGGGGGCUAGCGUUGUUCGGAAUAACUGGGCGUAAAGAGCUCGUAGGCUGUGUCGCAAGUCAGGGGUGAAAUCCCGGGGCUUAACCUCGGAACUGCCUUUGA